GAUGAACGCUGGCGGCGUGCCUAAUACAUGCAAGUCGAGCGAAUGGAUUAAGAGCUUGCUCUUAUGAAGUUAGCGGCGGACGGGUGAGUAACACGUGGGUAACCUGCCCAUAAGACUGGGAUAACUCCGGGAAACCGGGGCUAAUACCGGAUAACAUUUUGAACCGCAUGGUUCGAAAUUGAAAGGCGGCUUCGGCUGUCACUUAUGGAUGGACCCGCGUCGCAUUAGCUAGUUGGUGAGGUAACGGCUCACCAAGGCAACGAUGCGUAGCCGACCUGAGAGGGUGAUCGGCCACACUGGGACGUAGACACGGCCCAGACUCCUACGGGAGGCAGCAGUAGGGAAUCUUCCGCAAUGGACGAAAGUCUGACGGAGCAACGCCGCGUGAGUGAUGAAGGCUCUCGGGUCGUAAAACUCUGUUGUUAGGGAAGAACAAGUGCUAGUUGAAUAAGCUGGCACCUUGACGGUACCUAACCAGAAAGCCACGGCUAACUACGUGCCAGCCGCCGCCGUAA
rnacentral:rRNA from 1 species